UUGCACGCUGGCGGCAGGCCUCACACAUGCCAGUCGAGCGGAUGAAGGGAGCUUGCUCCUGGAUUCAGCGGCGGACGGGUGAGUAAUGCCUAGGAAUCUGCCUGGUAGUGGGGGAUAACGUCCGGAAACGGGCGCUAAUACCGCAUACGUCCUGAGGGAGAAAGUGGGGGAUCUUCGGACCUCACGCUAUCAGAUGAGCCUAGGUCGGAUUAGCUAGUUGGUGGGGUAAAGGCCUACCAAGGCGACGAUCCGUAACUGGUCUGAGAGGAUGAUCAGUCACACUGGAACUGAGACACGGUCCAGACUCCUACGGGAGGCAGCAGUAGGGAAUAUUGGACAAUGGGCGAAAGCCUGAUCCAGCCAUGCCGCGUGUGUGAAGAAGGUCUUCGGAUUGUAAAGCACUUUAAGUUGGGAGGAAGGGCAGUAAGUUAAUACCUUGCUGUUUUGACGUUACCAACAGAAUAAGCACCGGCUAACUUCGUG
rnacentral:rRNA from 1 species